GAAGCACAUAAUUAGAACUUUUGGCUCUUUUUAUGGAGCCAGGAGUGUCGAAUGUGUGCAAUAUAAAAAGGAAGGAUUCGCUAACACCACUCGAGUUAUUUGCUCAAUGAGUGGGGUUUGAUAGUAGACCUUCCGACAUGU